rnacentral:rRNA from 1 species
AUUGAACGCUGGCGGCAGGCUUAACACAUGCAAGUCGAGCGGAGAGAGGUAGCUUGCUACUGAUCUUAGCGGCGGACGGGUGAGUAAUGCUUAGGAAUCUGCCUAUUAGUGGGGGACAACGUUUCGAAAGGAACGCUAAUACCGCAUACGUCCUACGGGAGAAAGCAGGGGACCUUCGGGCCUUGCGCUAUCAGAUGAGCCUAGGUCGGAUUAGCUAGUUGGUGGGGUAAUGGCUCACCAAGGCGACGAUCCGUAACUGGUCUGAGAGGAUGAUCAGUCACACUGGAACUGAGACACGGUCCAGACUCCUACGGGAGGCAGCAGUGGGGAAUAUUGGACAAUGGGCGAAAGCCUGAUCCAGCCAUGCCGCGUGUGUGAAGAAGGUCUUCGGAUUGUAAAGCACUUUAAGUUGGGAGGAAGGGCAGUAAGUUAAUACCUUGCUGUUUUGACGUUACCGACAGAAUAAGCACCGGCUAACUCUGUGCCAGCCGCCGCGGUAAGAC